rnacentral:lncRNA from 1 species
UUUGUUUUAAUUGAAAUGAAUGUUUUCAAAUUAAUUCUCACUUAAAUAGAAAUUGCUUCUGUUCAUGAGUAAUAAAGUGAUUUUGUUCCCCGUCCCCCAGGUGAUCCAGAAGAAUUAAUGUUCCAGUAUUUUAAAAAGUUUGGCGAUAAACCUUGUUGUUUUACAGACCUUAAGGUGUUUGUUGACCUCUUACCUGCUACACAGUGUACAAACAAUAGCCACGUCCCCCUCUCCCAUCUCUAUCUAUGGGCAGCUAUUAUGUUUUCCAUCUUUAUAAUUUUGUCAUUUUUUGAAUGUGAAGUACAGCCAGGUACGGUGGCACGUGCCUG